rnacentral:rRNA from 1 species
UACGUAGGGGGGCAAGCGUUGUCCGGAAUUAUUGGGCGUAAAGAGCGUGUAGGCGGUCCGGUAAGUCAGCUGUGAAAGUCAAGGGCUCAACCCUUGAAUGCCGGUUGAUACUGUUGGGCUAGAGUCCGGAAGAGGCGAGUGGAAUUCCCGGUGUAGCGGUGAAAUGCGCAGAUAUCGGGAGGAACACCAAUGGCGAAGGCAGCUCGCUGGGACGGUACUGACGCUGAGACGCGAAAGCGUGGGGAGCAAACAGG